GACGAACGCUGGCGGCGUGCUUAACACAUGCAAGUGGAGCGACGAACCGGGGCUUGCCCCGGGCAGAGCCGCGAACGGGUGAGUAACACGUGGGUUACCUGCCCCGAUGACCGGGACAACCCGAGGAAACUCGGGCUAAAUACCGGAUGUGGUCUUACGGACGAAAGGAAGCUUUUAUAGCCUCCGCAUUGGGAUGGGCCCGCGGCG
rnacentral:rRNA from 1 species